AACGAACGCUGGCGGCAGGCUUAACACAUGCAAGUCGAACGCAUCCUUCGGGGUGAGUGGCAGACGGGUGAGUAACGCGUGGGAACGUGCCCUUCAGUUCGGGAUAACCCAGGGAAACUUGGGCUAAUGCCGGAUACGUGCGAGAGCAGAAAGAUUUAUCGCUGAAGGAUCGGCCCGCGUCUGAUUAGCUAGUUGGUGGGGUAAUGGCCCACCAAGGCGACGAUCAGUAGCUGGUCUGAGAGGAUGACCAGCCACAUUGGGACUGAGACACGGCCCAAACUCCUACGGGAGGCAGCAGUGGGGAAUAUUGGACAAUGGGCGCAAGCCUGAUCCAGCCAUGCCGCGUGAGUGAUGAAGGCCUUAGGGUUGUAAAGCUCUUUCGUCCGGGACGAUAAUGACGGUACCGGAAGAAGAAGCCCCGGCUAACUUCGUGCCAGCAGCCGCGGUAA
rnacentral:rRNA from 1 species